UGGUAGUCCACACCGUAAACGAUGAUUACUAGGUGUAGGUCGGCUGAACCGAUCUGUGCCGGAGUUAACACAAUAAGUAAUCCACCUGGGGAGUACGGCCGCAAGGUUGAAACUCAAAGGAAUUGACGGGGGCCCGCACAAGCAGUGGAGUAUGUGGUUUAAUUCGACGCAACGCGAAAAACCUUACCAGGUCUUGACAUCCGACUAACGAAGUAGAGAUACAUUAGGUGCCCUUCGGGGAGAGUCGAGACAGGUGGUGCAUGGUUGUCGUCAGCUCGUGUCGUGAGAUGUUGGGUUAAGUCCCGCAACGAGCGCAACCCUUAUUGUUAGUUGCUACGCAAGAGCACUCUAGCAAGACUGCCGUUGACAAAACGGAGGAAGGUGGGGAUGACGUCAAAUCAUCAUGCCCUUUAUGACCUGGGCUACACACGUACUACAAUGGCGGCGAACAGAGGGGAGCAAAGAGGUGACUCAGAGCAAAUCCCAAAAAGCCGUCUCAGUUCAGAUUGCAGGCUGCAACUCGCCUGCAUGAAGACGGAAUUGCUAGUAAUCGCGAAUCAGCAUGUCGCGGUGAAUACGUUCCCGGGCCUUGUACACACCGCCCGUCAAACCAUGAGAGUUGGGAAUACCCGAAGUCUGUAAUCUAACCGCAAGGAGGAUGCAGCCGAAGGUAGGCUCAAUGAUUGGGGUUAAGUCGUAACAAGGUAGCCGUAUCGGAAGGUGCGGCUGGAUCACCUC
rnacentral:rRNA from 1 species